rnacentral:ncRNA from 1 species
GGGUCCGAAGCGUUUACUUUGAAGAAAUUAGUGUUCAAAGCAGGCCCGGUCGCCUGAAUACCGCAGCUAGGAAUAAUGGAAUAGGACUCCGGUUCUAUUUUGUGGGUUUUUCUUCUGAACCGGGGCCAUGAUUAAGAGGGACGGCCGGGGGCAUUCGUAUUGUGCCGCUAGAGGUGAGAUUCUUGGACCGGCGCAAGAUGGACGAAAGCGAAAACAUUCUUAUCCAUCUCUUC